UAUGAGCUGAACUGUGUUCAUGUGUGUUUGUAGGCUACAUUUUCUUGGUGGCUCUUUGUGGUUUCUCCCUUUUGUUGGAUUUUCAAAGAACAGCAUGGAAACAUUUCUUGGAAACCUCAAAUGUAAUAAGAACACUGGAACAAGGUUUGGCUCACAACACCCAAACAAUCUGUCUUUGCCCGGGGAGGAGAGACCAGUCGACGACAUGGCUUUUCACAACACUGUGAGAAGUGGGCAAAAAUAGUGAAGCGGGAAAACUUAACGCUUCAGUCAAAAGUCAUUGAGAUAGCAACCAGAGAUAGCAUACCUGAGUGAUACUUCUUAAAUCAUGUUUUCCAUUUAUUUAUUGAAGAAAUCAUCUUAAGAAUAAGGAAGUGUUAAGUUUCCUGAGAUGGUUUGGGGAUGAGGGGAGUAACAAUACAAAUUUAAAACAAAGAAAAAAGACAAGGAAUUUACAAAAACUAACAAUUUAACUGAAAACGAGCUUCUAUUAAAAAACAGCUCAAGAGAAGCCAAACAUUAACAAAUGUAUGCCUAGUCCUAGUUUUUAACUUUUUAGCUUUUUGUACACAAGGAAACCGCGUUUUAGGUCACUAAAAAAACGCACGUUUUUGACAACCCGUUCCAGGGUAAAGUUUUACAUAAACUCCAUUUUGGUGACAUAGCAGACGUAACCAAACCGGUGCUCCCACGACGUUGAUGGGCAGAAGUGGCAGAAUGGACAACUUUGUAUUAUUUCAGAGGAAUGGGGAGAACAUUUUAUCACGUCAUGGACAUCGUUUUUGACUUGGCGUGCUCCUGAGAGUGGUGACAGUGCAUUUUUGCCUUUUCAUGUGGACGAUGAUGUUGAGAACUGAGCGUGUGUGGACGGGAUUAUUUCAUGAAACGGAGGAGGAAAACCUCAGUUUAAAAGAAAUACCUGCCAACAUCAAAUUAGAGAAAACAUGGCGCCUCGUCAGACGACGCCCUUCUUCCACUGAAGCAGUAUCUCAUCUCAGCUUCCACACGAUCACUGCAUGACCCACUGGCUACUGAUCUCGCCUCUCUCCUGCUUUUAAUGCCGAGGAGUCGGACCUUUGAUCGCUAGUCGGGCGAGCAGCAGCCUGCAGAGCAACAGGAGAGAGAGAAACAAACACACUACAGCACGAAACAGGAAGUACUUACACAUGUUGUUAUCACUGUUGUGCAGUUGAAUGUAAGCUAGUAAAGACAAACACAAUGUUUCUCCUCUUCUACAAAAUGUUUUUGGUGUCUGUACUCAGAACAUUUCUCAAACUGAGAUCAUGUCCCGGGUAUUUCUUCAAGUUUCCUGUCAGCUUUCAGGACCUUGUACUUUAUAAGAUGUCACUCCAGUGGAGAAAUUCACCUUGAUUCAGCGAUUGGUGGGAUGCAUUUGUCAGCGGCUGUUUUGCCGACACACAAUCCAUCUCUUCAGUCGGAGCGCACACAAAGCUGCACACGUUGAGGUGUUCGGGUGACUAAAUAUGAUGUCAGUGGAACAGAUGACGCAUUCUCCUCUGUUUUUCUAAACAAAUAGAAAGACCAGAUUUGAUCCGUCUGUAUUCAUGUAUCUCGAUUAUAUUGAUUUCUCAUCACACAGAAUUAAUUUUUGAUGCACUAAUUAAAUCU